UUUAAUGAGCAUUGUAAUAAUAUUUUUUUUUUGUUAUCCUUUAGAUUUCCAUUGGUGAAAAAUGAGUUCGUGUGCUUUCUCAUGUGAAAUUUGUGCUAUCGGAGGAAUUAAUGUACCUAGACCUUCGUAUAUUUAAUUGAAUGUUCGAAGGAUGAACACGUGAGCUGAAACAAAAUUAACGGCGGACAAGGGUGAACUAGCCAAAAAUUAUUUCAACCUGCAUCAAAAAAGUAACCUCUUCUAUUAUCUGACCAUGUCCAUUUAUCAAUAUUUCAGAUGACGUUAAAAUAUCCAUCUCAGCUCUUAUACUAUUACACUCAAACCUUCAUCCAACACUCCAAAAUAUCGAUCCGAAAAUUUCCAGAAAUGUCGCUAAUAUUUGGGGAAAACAGUUAAUGCAUAUAGGAAGCAUAUGAGUUGAAAGAAAUUGUACCUACAAAUUAAUCCUUGUAAAUAUUUCCAUUGGUGAAAAAUGAGUUCGCGUGCUUUCUCAUGUGAAAUUUGUGCUAUCGGAGGAAUUAAUGUACCUAGACCUUCGUAUAUUUAAUUGAAUGUUCGAAGGAUGAACACGUGAGCUGAAACAAAAUUAACGGCGGACAAGGGUGAACUAGCCAAAAAUUAUUUCAACCUGCAUCAAAAAAGUAACCUCUUCUAUUAUCUGACCAUGUCCAUUUAUCAAUAUUUCAGAUGACGUUAAAAUAUCCAUCUCAGCUCUUAUACUAUUACACUCAAACCUUCAUCCAACACUCCAAAAUAUCGAUCCGAAAAUUUCCAGAAAUGUCGCUAAUAUUUGGGGAAAACAGUUAAUGCAUAUAGGAAGCAUAUGAGUUGAAAGAAAUUGUACCUACAAAUUAAUCCUUGUAAAUGUUUUCAUGGGCGAAGGAUGAGUUCCUGUGCUUUUUUGGGUGACGUUUACGCUAUUGAGGUAGUAACCUGUAUAAAAUCUUUGAAACGUUGAAAUCUCGUGUCCAGAUUCUAUACUACUAUACUUAAACCCUCAUCUAACACUCCAGAACAUCGAUUCGAAAAUUUUUAGAAAAGUCGCGAAUCCUUGUGGGAUGCAGUUAAUGCCCUGAAAUAUUCAAACAUUGUUUAAUGGGCCAAUAUUGCUUACGUAUCAGAGAACCUACCGUGCGUAUACCUAGAAGGUUUCCACGGCAGAUAAACGAGUUCCUGCAGGUUUUGGCUAGAAGUGUCGGAGCGUAUGACACUGGAUCGUCAUUACAUUCGCCGUGAAGACCGCCUAACGUGCAAUACUAACCACUAGGAGCAACACUUACUAAAUGCGCACCGUAAUAACACCGUCGAUCGGAUCCUACGAGCUCAUAAUAAUACAAACACCGUUUUUCUUGUCCGCACGAUACAAAAAGCAGCGGUUCUGUCUAUGCAUUUAGUAGUAUCCGGGAAAAACACCGAAUCGAUUGCAAGUUCGUCUGGUCUGGUCGAAAUUUUUCCGCGGUUUCCUUCGAUUACACUGCACAGCAUAGAGUUUCGUUAUCAUAGAGGUAGCCAGUAACAUGUGAAUGCUUGUUUCAUUACAAGGGACUUCUACGCAGCGUUCUUUCUCAAUCCUGAUAUCCUAGUAGAGCAUGGAUUAAAUGGGGGUGGCGCUCUCUAUUUCUAUAUGUUCCUGACAUCAACGACGCAGUAGCGUUCCAAACGUUCGCUAAAGAAACGACGACUCCUGCGUCACACUGGAGCAACUGGAGCUAUUUGACACACACAAUUACUAGCCGUCGCCUACUUCGACGAAUCCGAUUAUUAUUGUUAUUAGUUUGUU